AUGGUCAAUCACAGAUCUUUGUAUUAGAAGCUGUUCAAGUCCUGAAAGGCAGACAGGAAUAGUACAUGCAGAACUGGUGGAAAGAUCAGUGGGGCAAUUCACCUAUCAAGUCUGACUAUACAUUUACCACUCCCUUCUCAGGCCACUCAGAAGUGAACCAUCAGCCCUGGAAAGCCACUGGAACUGAGCCAGAAAAAUCAUGAUUCAGCAAGUGGGGGUUCAGGAAGACUUCCCUGAAUACGCUGACCUCUGAAUAACCUUGAAAGAAAUAUGCACUUAACCUCCAGAGAAUUGAGUUGAGAACAACAUAACACAAUACUCUUCUUGCUCUCUAACUACUUUACAGGCCAUGCAGCAUGUGGGAUCUUAGUUCCCCAACUAGGGAACAUGCCCCUUGCAUUGGAAGUACGAAGUCUUAACCACUGGACCACCAGACAAGUCCCAGCUUUUAUGGAAUUAAAUGACAGAGUCAAAGAUCUUUAACCACUUAUCCUUUUUCCAUUAUCCUUCUCAGGCAACAAAUAUCAUGAGCUUUGAUUCCUUCUGUUUCAUUAAAAAUUUACAUAUAUAAACAUGCAUU